rnacentral:rRNA from 1 species
GGCCUACGGGACGCAGCAGUGAGGAAUAUUGGUCAAUGGGCGCAGGCCUGAACCAGCCAAGUCGCGUGAGGGAAGACUGCCCUAUGGGUUGUAAACCUCUUUUAUAAGGGAAGAAUAAUGACUACGUGUAGUCAGAUGCCCGUACCUUAUGAAUAAGCAUCGGCUAACUCCGUGCCAGCAGCCGCGGUAAUACGGAGGAUGCGAGCGUUAUCCGGAUUUAUUGGGUUUAAAGGGUGCGGAGGCGGGAGUUUAAGUUAGUGGUAAAACGUAGGGGGUUCACCUUGAUUGGCCAUUAAAACUGGAGG